rnacentral:rRNA from 1 species
UACGUAGGGCGCAAGCGUUAUCCGGAAUUAUUGGGCGUAAAGAGCUCGUAGGCGGUUUGUCGCGUCUGCCGUGAAAACCCGAGGCUUAACCUCGUGGCUUGCGGUGGAUACGGGCAGACUAGAGGUAGGUAGGGGAGAAUGGAAUUCCCGGUGUAGCGGUGAAAUGCGCAGAUAUCGGGAGGAACACCGGUGGCGAAGGCGGUUCUCUGGGCCUUACCUGACGCUGAGGAGCGAAAGCGUGGGGAGCGAACAGG